UACACGACCGUACCGCAAACCGACACUGGUGCGCGAGAUGAGUAUUCUAAGGCGCUUGAGAGAACACAGGAGAAGGAACUCGGCAAAUUGACACCGUAACUUCGGAAGAAGGUGUGCCUUUAGUAGGUGAACCAUUUACUUGGGGAGCCCAAUGAGGCUGCAAAAAAUCGGUGGCUGCAACUGUUUAUUAAAAACACAGCACUCUGCUAAGACGAAAGUCGACGUAUAGGGUGUGACGCCUGCCCGGUGCUGGAAGAUUAAAUGAUGGGGUGCAAGCUCUUGAUUGAAGUCCCAGUAAACGGCGGCCGUAACAAUAACGGUCCUAAGGUAGCGAAAUUCCUUGUCGGGUAAGUUCCGACCUGCACGAAUGGCGUAAUGAUGGCCACACUGUCUCCUCCUGAGACUCAGCGAAGUUGAAAUGUUUGUGAUGAUGCAAUCUCCCCGCGGAAAGACGGAAAGACACCAUGAACCUUUACUGUAGCUUUGUAUUGGACUUUGAACAGAUCUGUGUAGGAUAGGUGGGAGGCUUUGAAGUGUGGUCGCUAGAUCGCAUGGAGCCAACGUUGAAAUACCACCCUGGUGUGUUUGAGGUUCUAACCUAGGUCCAUUAUCUGGAUCGGGGACAGUGCAUGGUAGGCAGUUUGACUGGGGCGGUCUCCUCCCAAAGUGUAACGGAGGAGUUCGAAGGUACGCUAGGUACGGUCGGACAUCGUGCUAAUAGUGCAAUGGCAUAAGCGUGCUUAACUGCGAGACUGACAAGUCGAGCAGAUGCGAAAGCAGGACAUAGUGAUCCGGUGGUUCUGUAUGGAAGGGCCAUCGCUCAACGGAUAAAAGGUACUCUGGGGAUAACAGGCUGAUACCGCCCAAGAGUUCAUAUCGACGGCGGUGUUUGGCACCUCGAUGUCGGCUCAUCUCAUCCUGGGGCUGUAGCCGGUCCCAAGGGUAUGGCUGUUCGCCAUUUAAAGAGGUACGUGAGCUGGGUUUAAAACGUCGUGAGACAGUUUGGUCCCUAUCUUCCGUGGGCGCUGCAGAUUUGAGGAAGCCUGCUCCUAGUACGAGAGGACCGGAGUGGACGAACCUCUGGUGUAUCGGUUGUCAUGCCAGUGGCAUUGCCGAGUAGCUAAGUUCGGAAGAGAUAACCGCUGAAAGCAUCUAAGCGGGAAACUCGUUUCAAGAUUAGAUCUGCCGGGGCCUUGAGCCCCCUAAAGAGUCGUUCAAGACCAGGACGUUGAUAGGUCAGGUGUGGAAGC
rnacentral:rRNA from 1 species